CGGGGGAGGCGGCAGCAGCUGCGGUGAGGGUGGUGUGUGAGGUGUUGUAUCUGUGGAAGUGGAGGUGGUGAGUGCAGCAGCGGUUCCGGAAGUGGUGUGGCCGGCGGAGGCGGAUGUGACGUCAUCGGUGGGGUCUCCGGCCGUGUCUUCAUGGUCAAUGGCGGCGGGGCAGACAACAUCAGGUGAAGAUGUGCGUGAUUUUAGCAAGGUGCUGAAAAAUAAGUUCAGAUCAAAGAAAUACUUUGCCAAACAUCCUCGCUUGGGUUAUUUACCAGUACAAACAGUUCUAGAAGGCGAGAACCUUGAGACUGGAUCUGUUGGAGUUGCACACAGCGCAACGCGUCUUUGAUCAACACAAAUUGACACAAACCGAGCAACUUCUGAAUGUGACUGAAGUAAUCAACUGUUUAACGUCCAUUUAUGAUGUUUUGGAACAAAACCACAAGGACUUGGUCAAUGUGCCACUCUGUGUCGACAUGUGUCUGAACUGGCUGCUGAACGUAUUUGAUACAUAUCUUCAAACAAGUAGCUGAACCCACAGAUUUAUGUGACCAACGAAGCCUGAGCCUUUUGCUUCACGAUGCAGUCCAGAUCCCUCGGCAGCUGGGUGAGGUAGCUUCAUUUCGAGGCAGCACCAUUGAACCAAGUGUCCGCAGUUGCUUCCAACAUGCACUCAGACAUGAACUAAUGGAUAAGGAGGAGACAAUCAUAACUGCUUUGGAAUCAGCCCAUAGAAGGGCCAGAGGAGCCGCGCUGACACCUUCAUGUUUAAACAGAGGACACUUUUCUGCGUGCCACGAGAUGUAUAUCAGCCAUACCAAAAUGCUGCCUUUGCCUGAGACAGGGAAGAUCAACUGACUUUGGGGAAAUGGAGAAUCAUUCAUGAAUCCAGUUACUUUCUGAUCUGACAGCUUUGUGGCAUCUGAAUGGAUAACAAUUUGAUCUGAUGUUGCCAGACCCGGUGAGCUAUUCCAGCAACUUUGUUUUAGUUCCUGAUGAGCUGCGACUUUGUAUUUGACUGAUUUCCAACAUCAAAAGUUCUAAAGGUUGGAAGAGAUUGGUUUACCUUGACUUCCUAGCUUGAAAAUGUGCCUUUUAUGCAAAGAAACUGUACUCUGGGACAGUGGUUUUGCAGAUUUACCUGCAGGUCCAGCUGUGAAUCGGAGUUGAAGUAGUUGCAAGCACUGAUGAAUAGGCAGCUAUUUAGCCUCUGGAUGGAAUCCUGUGGAAGCGACGAGGGUCUAGGUCAUUGACUCGAGAACUGAUGAGGGAACGGCUUGCCCCAACCAGCUUCCCUUCAGGGGAACGCCAGCCUCAGGUCGCUCCCCUCAAGGGGUAUGUCAUCCUGACCUUGCUCCUCUCAUGCGUAGGCAGCUACAUCUUUCUCCCCUCUGGCACAUAAUAGACCGGUGGCAAACCUGGUGGGAUGUCACUUUCCAUGAGCGGUUGGCUAACCAGAACCCAGCAUGUGUACUAAGCAGCAGUGUCACUUGGGAGGUGAUGAUCUCUGUUACCAUUGGCAACCAACCUACGAUUAUUGCUCGAUCUCGGACCAGGAUUGAGUGAAACACCAUUAGCACGCCACUUCCCCUUCUUGAUGUUGCACAUUGAAUGCCUUUGAAAGCCUGUUACAUUUCUUAAUGGUGACACCCCUGCCCACUGUUGACUCAAUACCAGUUGUUGUGGGAUGAUGUAUGUGUACGUCAGUUGCUCAAUUGGGGACUUUAACUCGCAAUGAAGUUGGGAAGUUAUGCACAAGUCUUCUCACCAUGGAUUUAAUCUGGCUCUAAGCAGAAUUGUAGGUGGUGCCAUCCUUCCACCUGAUUAAAUGUCCUCUAUUUUCAAACUUGCCACAAGGGAAAGUACAAAAUCCCGCUGUUUUUGUUAUCAAUUCAUGGUUUUUAAUUUUGCAAUCAGUGUCGUAAGCAGCAGAUUAGUUCAGUCCUUGUGAAAUUGAAGGCAAUGCAACACUUUAAUUGGUCACUUUUUAACAUGGUAGGUUCUCAGACUGAGGAAAUGGUGAAUGUUGUUGAUCUUUAAUGCAAUAUAAUGGAGGAGAGAAAAAUCUGGACUAUAGAGCCCACAGGAAGAAAAUUAUAAUCUGUCAGUGCUGCCUCCAUUAGAACAAUGCCAAGUAAAUACCCGUCCCCAUAUCGAACAAUAGAAGUUUCCUGCAUAUCAGAACAUACCCAUUGAGUGGGGAACUGAUGAAUAAUGCAGGAGCACCAUCGGAUUGAAAUACUUUUAUUCUAAGAAUUUCAGAACAUGCUGGGAUUUUUAUAGCAAGCAAUACUUGUGAUGGAAUAUUCUUUUAAUGUCAAAAUGCUGCAACAGUUUGGAAGAACCAAUAUUAAAUGGAUAUUAUUGCAGAUAAUAUAUGUGAAUUAAAUAAAAUUGUUUGCUUAAAGUAUUUUGUAAUUCGAAUUGAAUGUCGCAUUUUUGUAUCUUAGUUGUCUUCUGUUUCUAAUUUUUCUUAUUUUUAUAGAGCAGGUAUUGUCCUGGUCACUUGUAAUGCUGCCAAUUCAAGAUUAACUACAUGGAUGGUCUCUAUCAGUUGCUUAAUCCCCGAUGUCAGUUUGCAAUCCUGAAUCCAAGAUUGUCACUUCAUCUUUCAAUUCUGUGUAUAAUCAAAGUCUGAGAUCAACAGCUUUCAUUUUACUAUCUGGAAGUCAAUCAGUGCAGAUUUUGUUUGUAAACAAGCGUUCUGUCUGUAAAACUGCUUCGUUUAAUUAGAUUAGUUAGUUAAGAUUCAUUUUAAUGAAAUGAAUCAUAACUAAGCUUCAUCUCUUCCUCAUUCUGAUUCUGAACACAUGGUAUGUCACGCAAUGGCAAUUCAAUUUUGCAUUGGUGCCGGUUCAAACCAUGUGUUUUCCAACUACAGAUUGAUACAGAUGAAAUUGUACCAUUUCCUUUUUAGUACCAUUCUCACCAUACAGUGUUUCUGUUCAUUACGUUUCUGUGCACAGUUCUGAACCAGUCCCCUUGCCCCUGAGCUUGCCAAAUGUCUCAAUGUUGUCAUGACAUUGUCAAAGAAUUCAUUGCUUGGUAGAUUCAGAGAUAAAUUAAUGUAACCUAGUAUGUGUUAAUGCCUCUGCUGUAAUCGGGCGAAACACUCAGGCCAUUGUCUUAAUUUUUCUCUCUUGUAUUUAUAUUGAAAUGUUGACCAUGCCAUUUGCUCCACUUAGUGGAAUUGGACUUGUUACAGAAGUGCUGAACGUCAACUUGCCAAAUACAAUUGGAUGAAAAGUAUGAGGCCAAUCAGUCUCUUGAAACACUUUCUCUAUGCAAUCAACAUAACAACAUUCAUUGACAAUGAAAAAUUACGUACGUGCUUCAGAAGAUUAGAUUUGAAACAGAGAUUUGUGAAUAUGAAUGGAGCUAUAUAUGUCCCCAUCUCAGGCACCAACCUCAAGUUCACCUGGACUAUCUACAACACCUCUGUCACCUUCCUGGACCUCUCUGUCUCCAUCUCAGAACCUAACCCGGAAGAGAGAGCCCAGAGAAUUGCCAAAGCUGUCCUCAAACAGUCAACAGAAGUGAAGGAAAAUUGGGAGCAAUUGAAAAUCCAUGCAAGCAACUGGCAGAAACAGGUGGAAAAGGCAUUGGAGAAACUUCAAGAACUGCAGAAAGCUCUGGAUGAUCUUGAGGCUCGUGAUAACAGCUGAGGAGGUCCACACUGAUUGGCAACCUGUGGGUGACCUGCUUAUUGACUCAUUGCAGGAUCACAUUGAUAAAACCAAAAUAAGUGCAAUUACAUUGCACUUCACUUAUGAACAGAUGUAACUGCAAUGUUGUAUCGAGACGAUCAGUAAUAUGAGUACUUAAGUAAUAUUGAUUGAAUGGUUGUUAACUUAAUUUGAAAAUUAAAACUUAGUUGAGCAUG